rnacentral:rRNA from 1 species
UGGGGAAUCUUCCGCAAUGGGCGAAAGCCUGACGGAGCAAUGCCGCGUGGAGGUAGAAGGCACACGGGUCAUAAACUCCUUUUUUCGGAGAAGAAGCAGUGACGGUAUCCGAAGAAUAAGCAUCGGCUAACUCUGUGCCAGCAGCCGCGGUAAGACAGGGGAUGCAAGAGUUAUCCGGAAUGAUUGGGCGUAAAGCGUCUGUAGGUGGCUCCUUAAGUCCGCUGUCAAAUCCCAGGGCUCAACCCUGGACAGGCGGUGGAAACUGCUAAGCUGGGGUACGGUAGGGGCAGGGGGAAUUUCCGGUGGAGCGGUGAAAUGCGUAGAGAUCGGAAAGAACACCAGAGGCGAAGGCACCCUGCUGGGCCGACACUGACACUGAGAGACGAAAGCUAGGGGAGCGAAUGGA